GGUCCAGACUUUGAUUAUGGCUCAGGAUGAACGCUAGCUACAGGCUUAACACAUGCAAGUCGAGGGGAAACGACAUCGAAAGCUUGCUUUUGAUGGGCGUCGACCGGCGCACGGGUGAGUAACGCGUAUCCAACCUGCCCAUCACUUGGGGAUAACCUUGCGAAAGUAAGACUAAUACCCAAUGAUAUCUCUAGAAGACAUCUGAAAGAGAUUAAAGAUUUAUCGGUGAUGGAUGGGGAUGCGUCUGAUUAGCUUGUUGGCGGGGUAACGGCCCACCAAGGCGACGAUCAGUAGGGGUUCUGAGAGGAAGGUCCCCCACAUUGGAACUGAGACACGGUCCAAACUCCUACGGGAGGCAGCAGUGAGGAAUAUUGGUCAAUGGACGAGAGUCUGAACCAGCCAAGUAGCGUGCAGGAUGACGGCCCUAUGGGUUGUAAACUGCUUUUAUAAGGGAAUAAAGUGAGCCUCGUGAGGCUUUUUGCAUGUACCUUAUGAAUAAGGACCGGCUAAUUCCGUGCCAGCAGCCGCGGUAAUACGGAAGGUCCGGGCGUUAUCCGGAUUUAUUGGGUUUAAAGGGAGCGUAGGCCGGAGAUUAAGCGUGUUGUGAAAUGUAGACGCUCAACGUCUGCACUGCAGCGCGAACUGGUUUCCUUGAGUACGCACAAAGUGGGCGGAAUUCGUGGUGUAGCGGUGAAAUGCUUAGAUAUCACGAAGAACUCCGAUUGCGAAGGCAGCUCACUGGAGCGCAACUGACGCUGAAGCUCGAAAGUGCGGGUAUCGAACAGGAUUAGAUACCCUGGUAGUCCGCACGGUAAACGAUGGAUGCCCGCUGUUGGUCUGAAUAGGUCAGCGGCCAAGCGAAAGCAUUAAGCAUCCCACCUGGGGAGUACGCCGGCAAGGGUGCAACUCAAAUGAAUUGACGG
rnacentral:rRNA from 1 species